rnacentral:rRNA from 1 species
CAUGCAAGUCGAACGCUUCUUUCCUCCCGAGUGCUUGCACUCAAUUGGAAAGAGGAGUGGCGGACGGGUGAGUAACACGUGGGUAACCUACCCAUCAGAGGGGGAUAACACUUGGAAACAGGUGCUAAUACCGCAUAACAGUUUAUGCCGCAUGGCAUAAGAGUGAAAGGCGCUUUCGGGUGUCGCUGAUGGAUGGACCCGCGGUGCAUUAGCUAGUUGGUGAGGUAACGGCUCACCAAGGCCACGAUGCAUAGCCGACCUGAGAGGGUGAUCGGCCACACUGGGACUGAGACACGGCCCAGACUCCUACGGGAGGCAGCAGUAGGGAAUCUUCGGCAAUGGACGAAAGUCUGACCGAGCAACGCCGCGUGAGUGAAGAAGGUUUUCGGAUCGUAAAACUCUGUUGUUAGAGAAGAACAAGGACGUUAGUAACUGAACGUCCCCUGACGGUAUCUAACCAGAAAGCCACGGCUAACUACGUGCCAGCAGCCGCGGUAAUACGUAGGUGGCAAGCGUUGUCCGGAUUUAUUGGGCGUAAAGCGAGCGCAGGCGGUUUCUUAAGUCUGAUGUGAAAGCCCCCGGCUCAACCGGGGAGGGUCAUUGGAAACUGGGAGACUUGAGUGCAGAAGAGGAGAGUGGAAUUCCAUGUGUAGCGGUGAAAUGCGUAGAUAUAUGGAGGAACACCAGUGGCGAAGGCGGCUCUCUGGUCUGUAACUGACGCUGAGGCUCGAAAGCGUGGGGAGCAAACAGGAUUAGAUACCCCUGGUAGUCCACGCCGUAAACGAUGAGUGCUAAGUGUUGGAGGGUUUCCGCCCUUCAGUGCUGCAGCAAACGCAUUAAGCACUCCGUCCUGGGGAGUACUGACCGCAAG